UAUUAUCUUCAUCCCAUUCGACGCAACAGAAAAAAAAUAGCAACGAAAAGAGGAGGGAACACAGAAAAAGAAGAUAAUACAUGAUAUUUUAUUAUUUUUUUGGCAUUUCAUAAGCACCACAACGAUAUA
rnacentral:ribozyme from 1 species